CCUACGGGGGGCAGCAGUGGGGAAUAUUGGGCAAUGGGCGAAAGCCUGACCCAGCAACGCCGCGUGAAGGAAGAAGGCUUUCGGGUUGUAAACUUCUUUUGACAGGGAAGAGCAGAAGACGGUACCUGUCGAAUAAGCUACGGCUAACUACGUGCCAGCAGCCGCGGUAAUACGUAGGUGGCAAGCGUUGUCCGGAUUUACUGGGUGUAAGGGGCGUGUAGCCGGGCUGACAGGUCAGGUGUGAAAGCCGGGGGCUCAACCGACGAACUGCAUUUGAAACUGUUGGUCUUGAGUAUCGGAGAGGCAGGCGGAAUUCCUGGUGUAGCGGUGAAAUGCGUAGAUAUCAGGAAGAACACCAGUGGCGAAGGCAGCCUGCUGGACGACAACUGACGGUGAGGCGCGAAAGCGUGGGGAGCAAACAGGAUUAGAUACCCCGGUAGUC
rnacentral:rRNA from 1 species